GCUGUCACCUACUAUAGAAGAACCUACGGCUGUCAUCAAGCACAGCUCCCUGGAUACCAGCCUGUAACACUUGCAUAUUGUUUGUAAUAAAUAUCAUCAAUAUGGAACUGAAGUUUUGCCCAAAGUCAAUGUCAUGGUGAGAUUUUGAACCACAUUUGGGAGACUCUGUUGAAAAAUUGAAAGCUUAGUUAAUAUACAAAGUGGAGUUGUUUGCUACCUUUUUGGCAGCAAGAAUUGUCUGACAGUGAGAAAAACAUUUAAAUCAUCAUGCAUGUUUGCUCAUAACUAUCGCACUUUGAAACUGAACAUUGUCUGUACACCAUUGUUACACUGAGGGGUUGAAUUUCCAAAAUGUUUCUUUUAUUAACUUGGUUUUCAAUAAAUAAUGGUAACUAUGGAUAUAAAAAGCUUUGGGAUGCUCUGAGUCUGCCAAGUAGGAUGUCCAAUGAAAUGACUGAAAAGAGAAAAUGAUCCUGGUUCGCUGACAACUGAAUAAACAUAAUCUAAUUUAAAUGGAUCUAAGUGAUGAGCAUAACAUUCACUAGCUUUUGACCUGUAACAGACCUGGCCUUAUGUUAAAGAGUCUCUUGUUUUGCCAAUUUGAUGGGUACAGGCAGAAAUAAAUAUGUUGGAUAUGGAUGUAUAAACAUAUUUAAAAACCUAUUAAAUGUGUACAUUAAUUAGUCCUGUGCAAUUAGUAUGACUGAAUCAUUUUGUCCAAAACAAAAACCCCACUUUGUUUGGGUAGUCUAAUAUUUUUCUAUGUGAUGGUUCAGCUUCUCACUAUCUCCGAACACAAUGAACAUUUCAUGAUUGUCCUCUAAUCAGCAAUCAUGUUUUUCCAUGUUUUCUUUGUUUGGUGCCACAGAGAGAACAUAGAAUCAUCAUGAAUCAAAAACAUGCUUCUCCAUUGUGCAAGUUAUUGGUUCAGUUACACUUCUAUAUCGCUCUCAGAGUUACAUAAUUAGAAGGACACGCUGAGCAUCCUAAAUUUGGCCUAAUCGUAAUUCGGAAAAAAAAUGAAUUCACAAGUCUGAUUUGUAUUAGGUAUACACACACUACACAGUAGUAUACUUUGGAUGCUGUCCCCCACCAAAAGCAAAUUUUAAAAUUUUACAUUUUAUAUAUAUAUAUAUAUAUAUAUAUAUAUUCACUGAACAAAAUUAUAAACGCAACACUUUUGUUUUUGCCCCAUUUUUCAUGAGCUGAACUCAAAGAUCUAAGACUUUUUCUAUGUAUAUAAAAGGCCUAUUUCUCUCAAAUAUUGUUCACAAAUCUGUCUAAAUCUGUGUUAGUGAACACUUCUCCCUUGCAGAGAUAAUCCAUCCACCUCACAGGUGUGGCAUAUCAAGAUGCUGAUUAGACAGAAUGAUUAUUGCAAAGGUGUGCCUUAGGCUGGCCACUAUAAAAGGCCACUCUAAAAUGUGCAGUUUUACUGUAUUGGGAGGGUCCGGGGGGUCCGAAAUUCAGUCAGUAGUGAUGUCACGAACGCGAACAUGCUAUGUUCGCCAGGAACUAUUCGCCAGCGAACCGUUCGGUGCAUCACUAUCAGUCAGUAUCUGGUGUGACCACCAUUUGCCUCAAGCAGUGCAACACAUCUCCUUUGCAUAGAGCUGAUCAGGUUGUUGAUUGUGGACUGUGGAUCCACUCCUCUUCUAUAACUGUGCGAAGUUGCUGGAUAUUGGCAGGACCAGGAACACGCUGUCAUAUACGCCGAUCCAGAGCAUCCCAAACAUGCUCAGUGGGUGACAUGUCUGGUGAGUAUGCUGGCCAUGCAGGAACUGGGAUGUUUUCAGCUUCCAUGAAUUGUGUACAGAUCCUCACAACAUGGGGCCGUGCAUUAUCAUGCUGCAACACAAGGUGAUGGUCGUGGAUGAAUGGCACAACAAUGGGCCUCAGGAUCUCGUCACGGUAUCUCUGUGCAUUCAAAAUGCCAUUAAUAAAAUGCACCUGCCCAUACCAUAACCCAACUGCCAUUAAGGGCCACUCGAUCCACAACGUUGACAUCAGCAAACUGCUCACCCACAGGACACCGUACACACUGUCUGUCAUCUGCCCUGUACAGUGAAAACCGGGAUUCAUCCGUGAAGAGAACACCUCUUUAAGGUGCCAGACGCGAUCGAAUGUAAGCAUUUGCCCACUCAACUUGGUUAUGACAAUGAACUGAAGUCAGGUUGAGACACCGAUGAGGACGAUGAGCAUGCAGAUGAGCUUCCCUGAGAUGGUUUCUGACAGUUUGUGCAGAAAUUCUUUGGUUAUGCAAACCCAUUGUUGUAGCAGCUGUCCGGUUGGCUUGUCUCAGACGAUUUUGGAGGUGAAGAUGCUGAAUGUGGAGGUCCUGGGGUGGUGUGCUUACACGUGGACUGCGGCAGUGAGGCUGGUUGGAUGUUCUGCCAAAUUCUCUGAAACACCUUUGGAGACAACUUAUGGUAAAGAAAUGAACAUUCAAUUCAAGGGCAACAGCUCUGGUGGACAUUCCUGCAGUCAGCAUGCCAACUGCACGCUCCCCCAAAACCUGCAACAUCUGCACAUUUUAGAGUGGCCUCUUAUUGUGGCCAGCCUAAGGCGCACCUUUGCAAUAAUCAUGCUGUCUAAUCAGCAUCUUUAUAUGCCACACCUGUGAGGUGGGUGGAUUGUCUCGGCAAAAGGAGAAGUGCUCACGAACACAGAUUUGUGAACAAUAUUUGAGAGAAAUAGGCCUUUUGUGUACAGAAAAAGUCUCAGAUCUUUGAGUUCAGCUCAUGAAAAAUGGGGGCAAAAACUAAAGUGUUGCGUUUAUAAUUUUGAUCAGUAUAUACAGUAUAUCAGUAUAUACAUGCAUGCACUCCCAUAUAGCUUGGCCCUUACCCCUUCUCAAUAUUCACAUAUUGCAUGAGUGUGUAUGUGAGCCUGUCGGAGUGUGUGUGUAUGUGUGAGAGCCAGUCAGUGUGUAUGUGCACGUUUAGGUACCUGCCCCCUCCCAUCGCUUGAGGAAGGUGUUUUUUAUUUUCCCACCCUCACUGCUCCAACACUGCCCACCUACCCUCACUGCCCCAACACUGCCCUCCCACCCUCACUGCCCACCUACAUACACUGCCCUCCCACCCUCACUGCCCCAACACUGCCCUCCCACCCUCACUGCCCACCUACAUACACUGCCCUCCCACCCUCACUGCCCUCCCACCCACACUGCCCCAACACUGCCCUCCCACCCCUCACUGCCCACCCACAUACACUGCCCUGCCUCCCACACUGCGCUGUCCCAACACUGCCCUGCCCCAACACUGCCCUCCCACCCACACUGUCCUGCCUCCCACAUACCCUCCCACCCACACUGUCCUGCCCCCCACAUACCCUCCCACCCACACUGCCCUGCCCCCCACAUACCCUGCCACCCACAUGCCCUGCCCCAACAUACUCUGCCCCGCCACCCACAUACCCUGUCCCCACACUGCCCUGCCAGUCACAUACCCUGCCGACCACAUACACUGCACCCACGUUGCCCUGCCACCCACAUACCCUGCCCACCACAUACACUGCACCCACGUUGCCCUGCCAGUCACAUUCCCUGCCCCCACACACACUGACCACCACAUACACUGCCCCCCACACUGACGACCACCACAUACACUGCCCCCCACACUGACCACCACAUACACUGCCCCACACACUGAUGACCACACUGACCACCACAUACCCUUCCCCAGGGCCGUCUUUAAUAUUGAUUGGACCCUGGGCAAAGCAUUUGCUUGGGCCCCUGGAACCUGUCCCCCCUCACCAGGCGUGCAAUCACGUCCUCCACCCUAACAAAGUGGCAGACCUAAAGUAGAGAGGUGCAAGAAUUUUUUUGAGCCUCCCUAUCGCACGGGUGAUUAGAAGGUAGAUCCCCAUCUGUCGUGCAACUCCAGCAAUGCACUGACAGCUGGGGCUCUUCCAUUUACCCAUGUUUGAAGGUUUGUAUUUAGCACUAAGCUGUUGUGUGUUUGACUGUUAGCAGGUUUUUGUAUGGAAUAUGUUUGUAUGUGGUGUUGGCGUACGUGCAAGCAUGUAUUUAUGUGUAGUGUUGGUUUUUGAAUGCAGGGGUGUGUUUACAUAUAAUUUUGGUUUGUAACUCAGACGUGUGUUUUGGAGUUUGAAUGCCAGUGUGUAUUUGUAUGUGAUGUUAGUGUGUGAAUGCUGAGAUGUAUGCACAUAUACACACACACACAUAUAUCGAUAUAUAUAUAUAUAUAUAAAUAUAUAUAUUUAUGGCACACACAGACAGACAUACUGGUACACAGACAUACUGACACACACACAGUCAGACCUACUGACAGACAGGGACCUACUGACAGACACACACAGACAUACUACACACACACAGACCUACUGACAGACACACAUACACACACAGACCUACUGACAGACACACACACAGACCUACUGACAGACACACACACACACAUAGACCUACUGACAGACACACAGACCUACUGACAGACACACACAUAGACAUACUGACACACACCCAGACAGACAUACUGACACACACCUAGACAGACAUACUGGCAUACACCCAGACAGACAUACUGGCAUACACAGACACAUACUGACACACACACACAGACAUAGUGGCACACACAGACAGACAUAGUGGCACACCCAGGUAGACAUACUGGCACACAGACACACAGACAUACUGGCACACAAACACACUGACAUACUGGCACACAGACACACAGACAUACUGGCACACAGACACACUGACAUAUUGGCACACAGACACACAGACAUACUGGCACACAGACACACAGACAUACUGGCACACAGACACACUGACAUACUGGCACACAGACACACAGACCUACUGACACACAUAGACCUACUGACAGACACACACACACAGACAUACUGAAAUACACCUAUGCAAACUUUAAAGCCCCCCUCCAGUUUCCUACCUUCCCUGGGGUCAAGUGUGCUGGCUUGGGUGGUUGGGAGUUGGGGACUUGGUCUCUUUGCUCAGUCCGCCUCCUCACUGCGACCUGGCACAGGCUCCCUCCCGCGCGGCUCAUCAUCUCUGAGGGAGGAAGUGACUUGCGGACGUCACUUCCUCCCAGUGCUGCUGUAAAGCAAGGGGCCCGGUCGUGCUGUUAAAGGGUCACAGCACCCGACCGGGCCCCUGCUGAAACGUGCUCACCGGGUGGCCCUAAAUGUAUUGGCCACCCGGUGAGCCUCCUUAGAGUAUGGGCCCCGGUGCAGCCGCAGUACCAGCACCGCGGGCCCAUGGGGGGGGGGGGAUUUUUCUUAUGCAGGCUAUGGGCGGCGGGGCAAAUAGGGCAGCUGCUUUGGGCCCCCAAGGAGUAACUGGGCCCAGGGCAGCUGCCCCGUUUGCCCCGCGUUAAAGACGGCCCUGCCCUUCCCCAUACACUGACCACCACAUACACUGCUCCCCACACAGACGACCAUACUGACCCCCACAUACACUGCUCCAUCACUGACCACCACAUACACUGCCCCCACACUGACCACCACAUACUUGCCCCCUAUAUAGCAUUCCCCCACUUUGACCACCACGUACACUGCCCCCACACUAACCACAACAUACACUGUCCCCCACACUAACCAUCACACUGAUCACCAUAGACACUGUCCCCCACAUUGACCACCACAUACCUUGACCCCCACAAUGACCACCACAUACCCUGACCCCCACAUACCCUGCCACCCACAGUGACCACCACAUUCCCUGCCCCCCACACACUCUGCCCCAGUUUCUCACACAAAAUACUUGCACGUAGCACAUCCUGCUCCCCCCACACACUCUGUCUCCAGCUUACACACUGCCACCCACACGGUCACACACCCUGCCCUCCUACACUGUCAUACACACUGCCCCCUCAUGCUGUCACACACCCUGCCCUCAAUACACUGUGUCCCACACACCUUGCCCUCCCACACUGUAACACACCCUGUUCCCCCACACUGUCACACACUGACCCCCACACUGUCGCCAUCCUUCACACUGCUACCCCACACUGCCAUCUUCCUCCUCACUGUCACCCACUCACACCCUGCCUUGAAAACUGUCACAAUCCUCCACACUGCUCUCUCACCCUGUUACCCUUUCACACACUUACACCCCAUAUUGUCAGCCCCCAACACUAUGUCACCAAUACAUACAGUCCCUCCCACACACUGCCCCUGCACACACUGUCACCCUUUCCAACACUGCCUCCCACACUCUUACCUACCCACUGUCACCCCCCACAUGCUGUCAUGCCCCCUUCACCCAGCCUUGCUCACAUUAACCUCUCCUAAUCUUGUCGCUCUCACCCCCUCCAUCCAUACCACAAUUACCGGCCCUCACUCUUCUACACUCACCCUAUCACCUUAAUCCCCCUAAUCAUACCACACUCAUCUUCUCUCAUACUGUCACACUCACCCCAAAUCCUGUCACACUCAUCCUUUUUCACAUUAACCCUUUCACUUGGGCCCAACCAUGCCACACAUAAUCCUGUCCGACUCACUUUCCCUCGCCUUGUCACACUCCCUCCUCCAGCCGUGCAACACAUAACCCAUAACCCUGUCAAACUCAUCCCCCUUCACCCUAUCACAUUAACUUCUCCUAUCCUGUCACUCAUCCUGCCUAGACAUGCCACACUCAUCCUGUCACUCUCACCUCCCCUUGCCUUGUCACACUUUCUCCUUAAACCGUGCCACACUCACCCCAACAGUGAAUACAGAGACAAGCUCUCUGUAUCCAGCGCUGCAAGCCUGUCAUACAUUAUAAGUACAGCUCAUUAUACACACGAUGCAACCCCUAUAUGUUUUUUUACUAUGAGUGUUAGUGGGGGGCCUCUUGUUUGAGAUUCGCCUAAGGCCUCAUAAAGUCUAGAGCCGCCACUGAUCUCCACUGAUGCUUUGCCAGCAUUUUUUCUCUACGAGCUCUAUCGGAGUAUUAGUCCACAACAUCUGUAUUGCUGGAGUUUGCCUAUCCCUGGUACACGUUCUAUCUAUAAUGCCACAAGAUGACCUAAAACUACCUAGAACUGAGCAUGGAUCCAACAAAGGGCAGGCCAUUUCACUUAUUGUCUGUUUUCAGCAUUCUCUUAUGAUCUGCUUUAGUUUGUCUUUAAAUUGCCAAGAAUCCCCCAGCAGAAACUAAAAUAUGGAACCCUUGAAAACUGUGCCGAUGGCAGUAUUUGCUAUGCUUAACUGAGAAGGCUCACCAAGGCCAAGAUCAUUGUCAUCUGUGCUUGCUCUAUCUCCUAAGCAGAGAGAGCCUGCUAGCACUCAAAUGAGACCUCAACUGACCUUUAGUUGGUUAGUUUAGUUACAUUGUGUCACGGUUCUCGCCGCGACAUCCAGUCUGCUAGACGAGGUCACCCCAGGAGUGCCCAGCAGAGGAUUUGAACCAUGGUACUUUGCAGUCCUGGGGCUGCUAUUUUGCCUCCGAGCCACCAUACAGCUCAAGAUAUAGCCAAAAGUCUAUCUUGCCUUGUAUCCAGCACUGGGGGCUGGACAUUAUCUGAGACUGCUCCUGUCAAUCAUGGUUCACCUGUGGCUGAUCACUGAUUAGCCAGAUUUAAAACACUGCCUCUCCCAGAAGACAGUGUCAGUUCAUUGACUCUGGUUCUAGUAUUGCUGUUUCGUGUUCCAGUGUUCUCCUGUUGAUUCCUGACCUUGGCUUGUUAUUUCGUGUACCCUGACUUCUGGCAUCCUCUGACCUCUGCUCUCUACUCGUUUAUCCUGAUUUCUGGCACCCACUGACCUUUGGCUUACCAACGACGAUUUUCCUGUUUAUGUCCGUAUCUGCACUGCGACUUGGAGCAUCAUCCUGCACAGUCCCCGUGCACCGACUCACAGGCCAGGUGAAUUCUUACCUGACCACCUUGGCCUGUGUUUACUUGCAAGGGUGAGCACAUAUAUCUGCGCUACAGACUCCAACUCAGGUAAGCCCUGACACAUUGUUGGGUUCAGCUUGAUAUAAAAAUGCUUUAGGUUCUAUUUGUAAUGGAACAAGCUAAAAAUAAAUAGUUUGGAGAGUGGUGGCGUGGCCAACAGCGAGCCGAACCAGACGUGCUUUACCAGAGCUCUCAUGAGAUAAAUCCGAAUUUAUUAAAUUGCUGGCAGUUAUUCACUUACCUUUUACCACUACCCCACAGAUGACAAGAUGGGACGUAAGUACAAAAAAUCCCAUUUCCUAGAUGGCUCUGGUAUGCCAGAUAUCAGGCUCUCCUUCGAGAAGCCUGUGGAGCGACUACCACCCAAGGCACAAAUCAUGGCUGAGGCCUCUGAAGAAUCUCAGGAAGACACAGAUUCCAUGGUCUCGAGUGGCACGGGGGGAUAUACAGAGAGACUGAGAGUCAGAUGAUGACUUUUUCCCUUCUACAAAAGGGGACAUUAAGAAGCUGCUGCUGGAGCUGAGGCAGGCAUGGAAAACAGAUCUGCAGGAGACACAGGCUGACAUAGGAGCAAUGAAUGCAAAGUUCAAUGCAGUUUAAACAAGGGGAAAAAAACAGAGACAACCAGAUGCAGGAGACUAAGUGUCAGGUGGAAGAGUUUAGCCACCAGGUUUAAAAGCAGUAGCUGUACUGGAGUCCAGACACAGAAGGCGCAACAUCCAUCUAAGAGGUAUCCCCGGAAGAGUGGGAAGCGAGGAGCUACUGCCCUUCAACAGGAGACGGAUUGCCUCACUGGGCCUUAAGGGGGUGAGAGACACCUCACUGGUUAUGUCAGUAUUCAGAGUAAGAAAGCGGCUGCAGCCUCGUCAGGGGCCUCCAGGGACGUCAUCAUGGUAACCAGAGAUGUCACGGCACAAUCUGUUAUUAUGGCCCACUCUAGAGCCUUAGGAACAGUACAAUUUGAACGCUGUGCGAUAGCUUUCUACAGGGAUUUCCCGUUCACAGUAUUAAUGGAGAAAAGGCAGUUGGCUCCAAUUGCCAGACGAGUGAGGGACAACUCUGUCAAGUAUAGAUGGGGAAUGGAAGGCCCGAAAGUGGAUGACCUUAAUUACUUUGACCUCUGCGGAUGACCCAUAGACUUUCACCUGCACUUGUUACCUAAUCUGCCUAGAUAUAGAGCUAAUCUGCCUAACCUAACCCUAAACUGCACCUAUGGCACACUGUAGCAUGACUCUUGUCAUCAAAAAUAGGAUGUCUACAAACUUUAUGAAUGGGGAUUGGCUUAUGGAGGGUCACCUUUUGGCAAAAUUAUUGGGUUCACUUUAAAGACUAUAUCACUGGAGGAAGACGAGGAAUACUUGUAGGCUUGUAAUAAAGUUAAUAGUUAUGCCUUCCAUACACUCAAUGAUUUUUUUCAAAACACCCCAUGUGACAAUUCGCCACUUGGUCCUGGAGAGGCCUGCUUGCCAGCCUCCUCCCCUGUAACUAUGACACUUUGAUGUAUUCUACCUUCAGACAGACUAUUUAUGUAGGUUGCUUUAUUUCUCUUAUGUUUUAGUCACCCUGUACCCAUUAUAGGUGCAGGGUGUGUGUAAUGUAAUUGUUUAUAGUGUGUGUGUGCGUGUGUGUGUGUGUACUGUGUAAUGUAUUGCCUGCUCUCCUGUACUGCUGAGGUUUGCUACCAACUAGGUGGAUUUGGCUAUGGAGCUUGUAUAGUGCCCUCUGUUGGUAGCAACAGCAAUAUGCACUACCUGAAUAACAAGACUGGUUCAUUUGCAUAUUCGGGUAGAUUUGCAUAUUGCUAAUUCUGCAGACAUGUGAGAUAUUUUCUGUUGGUUAUUGUCUCCCCCACCUAUUUGGAAAUGUGCCAUUGUGUUGUGAUAAGUCACUGUAUGUUGCCUGAUAUGGUUUGACUGUUUGUGAUUGUGACAAAGUGCCCUUAGCCACUUGUGCCUGGAGAGGACUGCUUGCUCGCCUCUUGCCCUGUGACUAUAGACCCUGGGAGAUUUGGCCCGUUCAAUUCAGUAUGAUAGGAGUUAUGUAUUUUUGUAUCCUUUUGUGUUUUACCUGGAACAUGUGCUCAAUGGAGUCUGCUUCUAUCCCUGGAUAAUUGGAUUACUUUCCCCAUUGUCUCCAGGCUAGAGGACUCUGUAAAACCAGUUUGGGCCAGAUAGCCAGCCAGGCCCCAAAAGAUACUUUACUAACUUCUGAACCCCUGGUCUGAUUCAUGCCAUUUUUUGAUAUGUUGUUUCCCUGAAUGGAUUGAUUGGAACAUAUAAAUAUGUGAAUGUGAUGUAUAUUUUAGAAGUUAUGAAUGCUGUAAAAACUGUAUUAUUUCUGGCCAGCAGAUAAUUGAGCUUUGUGUAUUGUAGAAGCUCAAUUAUCUAGCCUGGCCCAGAGGAGGAGUUUUGUGUUGCAUAAAUUGUGAGUUCUGUGUGCCAGUAAAUCAGUCUUGUUCCAGCAUUAAGCCUUGGCUCAUGUUUGGGGGAUUGGAGAAAUACACUCUGGGGAUUGCUAUAAUCACUAUACUCCCCAGGGUAUGAUCACUAAGUUCCUGCUCUCUGGAGAAAGAGAGGUUCACCCACUGGAAGCUGGAUCCUGGCCUUGGGUCCAGGGUGAGUGGAGACAACAGAGACCCUGGCGCAGUUGCAUCGCUGGAAGUGGGGUCUUCAGUGCUGAUGGUGUCGGUUGGAGUGCUUGGAGUCCUCAGCGAGCACUAGGAGCAUCGAUUGGCGGAGGUACUCAGUCGGAGUGCCAGCGGUCCGUCACAGUGAUUUUAUUGAGUUUUCACAGCAAUGUUAAUGUGAUGACCAGAUGGGCUAGUCCCAAGUAAAAUAAAGGUUUAGACAGUUCUUCUUGAUUCCUCUAAACGUAGCCUUGUCUCGUUAUUGGAGGGAGCUGUGAUUAUCACACUGGGGAUUGCUAUGCUCUGCAUAGUCCCCUGAGCUUGAAUCACUUAGCUCUUUUAAGAGCUUGUUCCUGACACUCUCUCCUUGGAGGAGGGGUCUUCCUCGCACAGUCCUGGAUGCUGGAGGUUCAUACAGGGUGGAAGGAAGAGGUCUUUUCCACACGGUCCUGGAGGACAGAAGCUGAUCCACGGUGGAAGGAAGAUGGCAAGACUCCGGUCAAGCUACGGUGGUUGCGGAGUCUGCGGUGGUUGUGUUGUGUGCUGCAGUGCUUGGAGUCCUCAGGAAGCGCUAGGAGCAUCCUUCAAUGGAGGUACCCAGUCGGGGUGCCAGGUGAUCCGUUACACCCCCUAUUCUUAAUUCUAAAGAACUAUAUUCCCUAAUUUUAUCCCUAACCCCCAACACAAUGCACCCAAUAACUUUAUCAAUCUAAUCUAAAUCCUUCUACGCUAAGGAUCCACAUAGUCUACUUAAUUUUAAUCCUAAUCUUAAACUCCCUAUCUUUAAACACUCACAAAUGAUAAACCUACCUCCAGUCUUAAUCCUUAAUCCCAGUAGCAUAAGCAUACUCAAACCCCCUAAUCUCUACAUCUCUAAAGCACCUGCUGUCAAUACCUGCUGUCAAUACCUGCUGUCAACACAACAGACAUGGACAUAGAACCAAAAUUGUAGAUUUCAAAAGAAUGAAAUGUGCAAUUCUCUAAAAGGGCCCUGUAACGUCACAAAAACUUGGUAUACAUGGGGGAAUUUAGUAUUCAGGAAAUGUAGCUGGUUUACAAAACACACUACAAUGUGCAUGAGAAAAAACUGCAUACAACAGAAAUUAAGAGAAAUUAGUGACGGGGUGGGCAGAGCCUGACCACCGAUGAAGAUGGACGCAUGAGUCCUGAGCUCCCCUGAGCAUACAAUCUGCUUCCAUCAGUGAAAAUCCCUGCACAUCCAACGGAUACUGAUACCACCACAUACAGACACACAGGCAUUCUUCAUAUUACCACCAUGGGAGACAACAAAAAAAGGAAAAAAAUCCCGCCAUCGGUGGCCACGAUGUUCCACAACUCUGAACAGGACACCCAUUGAAAGAGCCCAUCGGGCGCUGCGCCCCCUACGCCUAACUCUGCCAUGCUGAGGGACUUCAUCGUGAAACUGCUGCACUUCACAACAAAACGGUUCAUGGCUGCAGCCCGCGACAAACCACCAGUCCACCAAGACAAGCAACUGCAUUUCUUCCAGGACUUGGCACCAUCUACCCUACGGAAACGCAGGGAGCUCAAACCCCCUCACCACCACCCUAGCCCAACUGGGAUGGAAAUACAUGUGGGGCCAUCCAUUUAAACUCAUGGUACGGAAAGAAGACCAGACACAUACGCUUAAUCAACCCGCUGAGAUGCUGGACUUUGCCAACCAACUGGGAAACCCAUUACUCUACCCACCUGCACCCACCGCUGGCGGUUCACAGGGACCUACCCGGAACCAGCAUAGGGCAGAGCAGCUUCCACCUUGUAUGACGCAACGAAAGAGACCCCCACCGACCCCGAAGAGUACCUCUCAUGGGAACACUUGAAAGCGGUCCCUGGAACUAUUGCCACACCUUAUACGGACGGCCUUUCCCGCUUGGAUUGCGGACCAGGUUAUACCCCCACUGUUGCCUGUAACUGUAUUAGGCCCCCCCUUUUUGUGGUUAUGGGUCGUACUCUCUCCCUAAAUAUCUCCCCCUGGGGGGGCUCCAGCACCCAGAUGCCCUACGCUUGCACUCUGAUGCCACGCUAGUUGAAGCCUUCUAGCCCCUAUGCCCCCACGUUCGAGUCCCUAUAUCUGAACCCCGUCAGAGAGUUCACUACUCCUACCAAAAGUCCUGGCCUCCAUACCCACACAGUCCCGCCCUGGACAUGCAAAGACAGUCCCGAAGGGUAACCCUACUUUACCAACACAAGCCCAUACACCAUACUACGGUAUCCAAUUGGGCCUAGAUACCUUAAUGACAGGCAAUAUAGUCCUGCAGGUGUCCACAGCCCCUACCCGGCUUUUACAAUAGCUAUCGAGUUGUUUCUGUUGACCUCGUGGGUCUUUCAUUAAUCCAUGUAAUGUACUGUUAUGUUUCUAUUGUUUAUGUGCUAACACUGUAUAUAUGAUCCAUUCUGGCGGGUACGGCACAAGGCCUCGGGACUUUCCUCUUAGUGGGGACCUCCUCCUAGCUCUUCACGCUCCUGUACGGGGGCAUACCUCGCCCUAUAAUAAUCCCCAGCACGGGGCAGAACAACUUGUACCCCUUCAACACCAUCCCCCCGACUAGAUACUGCUCCCGAAAGGCCCCCACCUGGCCAAAGCAACACUUGAAUGUGCGCAAAUAGACCGGUACAUCCCACUGUUCCUCAUGUCAGGAAACAUCAUGUACUGCAAGUUUGAAGGGUCCCCACUGUAUUUUCACAGUAGGGCAUGGAGGUUUCUCACUAGACUGUUCCUUAGCAAAACUAUGUUUUUGCCAUUCACAUGACAUCAAUGUAUACUUGUAAUACUCAGACAGGCUAGAAACAACACUACUCGAACAGUGCCGUGGCCGGUGCCUAGGGGCUCUGCCCGGGGGGACCUCCCUUGCUUUAGAGACAACCCCCUUAUUCAUCAUGUUCCCAUAUAGGGGGUAGUCCCGUCCACUAAACACUCGCACAGGGGGCCCUCUGGGGGCGUCCCCUGGCUCACACCACGCCCACGCAGCAAAGCAGCCGCGCCCACCGGGCUAACCCAACUGGGACCCCCAUGUUCACCGUCGGCCACCUUCCAGGGCAACCAACCCUCUGCUGAGCUUCCUAUGGCUUAGGAAGGGACCCACAUUUAAUCUUCGCCCAGUACAGGGACCCCUCUGGUUUGACCCUCCCCACGCUCCCGCACCAUGAGCCAUAUCCCAUAGAGCGGCUACUCCGAGGGUGCGAUCCAUACCAUAACCCCCUCAUUCCGAUUACCCAAUACCAAAACCUCUGCCCAAUUACCCGCAUUAUACGGCACCAGCAGGCCCCACAGAGACAACCAUCUUGUUGGGGUGAGGUUGCUGCACUCUUUGUGGACCUGUCCAUUCCCAGUCUCUCCACCAUGGACUCCCAUGGCAUUCAUUGGUUUUAUGGUUAUGCUUUAGAUUUUAUAAUAUACUGUAAUCUGUUAAGUGUAUUGUUAUCAUUUGCCUAUUAUGAACAGUUUUCACGGGCACGCAUGCUCAGGGGGUGGAUUCAGACAAAGGUGUUCCAUUGACUCUUGUACACCGAGUAUCUCUCCCCACACGCAGGGAGCAACUCCCCUCACUCAAUUCCCGGUCUCCCACCACCACUGUUACACCAGACAAACUCAGUCCUCCCUGGGCCUGGCUGCCUACAAGUAAGACUACUUCUUCGACUACCUUUCACCCCCUACCUCCCUACCAGAUUCCCCACCCCUGUCCUACCCUGUCUUUCCUGGUUAAACCCCUCCCCUUUUUUUUUUAUCUCCCUCUCCCCCCAUCCGCCUCGUCUUCCCUUAUGCCUCAAUAGGGGCACACUCACCUCACAGAACAGCAUUAGCAACUUAGUGGUAUGAAACCCCCAUGAUGCAACCUCUUUUCACUUGCAUAUCCAUUAAUUGCAAAGGCCUUAAUAACCCCUCCAAACGCCACCAAACCAUGCGCUGGGCAACCAGAACCCAAGCACAAAUCGUUCUCCUACAGAAGGCGCCUUUCCACCAAAAUUGGGCAUUUCCCCUCCAGAACCGACAUUUCAACAGAUAUUUCUUAGCUAACUCCCCAACAGGCAAACAAAAUGGGGUAGCAAUUAUGCUUCAUAAAUCGUGCCCUUAACCAUUGAGAAAACUAGCACUGACCACCAAGGACGCUACAUCACGGUUGCCGGCAAAAUAGGCUCCCAAAAAUAUGCCUUCGCCUCGAUUUACGCGCCCAAUGUCCCAUGUAACUCCUUCUGGCAUGUUUUACAGGCCCACUUCCUACUAUUCUCCUCAUAUCACCUGGUAGCAGGAGGGGACUAUAAUGCAACCUCAUCCCCUUCGCUAGACAGACGACGUACGGGGACCCGUGCGACUCUCCAGCCCCUCACCGCCAAAUCUGACAAACUCUUUCAAACUUUUCUCUCACAAACAUGACUUUUCUCCCAUCUGCACCAGUCCCACUCGCGCAUUGAUAUGUUUUUGAUCUCUCCCUCCUUAAUACCGUUCGUUAAAUCUAUGUAUUUCGGCUCCAUUACAUGGUCGGACCAUGCUGAUAUCACGCUUGCCCUUAAUUUACCAGACACAACCAGACAAUGGUGAUUGAACUCCACGUUACUGCACAACCCUCUUAUUCGAGAGUCAAUGUCGCAGGCCAUCGCCGACUACUUCACCCUAAAUAAAGAAUCGGUGACCUCGACUAGUAUCUUAUGGUUACAAAACUGUUAUCAGGAGCACCUUAAUCGGCCAAGCCUCAUAUCAUAAAAAGCAAUGUUUAAUGAACUUGGAACGAACGAGAAAUACUACCAUGUGUUUUAUAGUCAGUCAGGAGUCUUUGUAUUACUUAUUUCAAAAUGGGUGGGAUGCCGCAGUAACCAGUCUCUCAUAGUCAACGAUGUUUUUGGUUGGUUGUAAGGACAUGUAAAAAUAAUCGCUCUUAAUUAAUGACUUUUGACUGUGAUAUUGUUCAUAUUUGCAUCAUGUUGCAUAUCUUACUGUGGUGUCUGAUCUUAAAAUCUUAAAUUCCAAAAUAUCACACUAUCAAAACACCAUAAAGGACUUCAUAUGAGCAGACUCCGCAAAAGUCAUCCAAUGGACCCGACAGCUCUACACCCUGUUCCAAAUUAUUAUGCAAAUUCUAUGUAAGUGUCACAAAGAUUAAAUAUUUUGUUUUUCAGUUUAACGCAGGGGUAGUCAACCUUUUUCUACCUACCGCCCACUAAUGCAUCUUUCUUGAGGGAAAAAUGUCCUUACCGACCACCAGUUUUUGCGCAAGUGCGGAAUAUUUUGUAGAAAGGAGGGUGUUUUCAAAAAAAAAAAAAAGUACGUACAUUUAUCUUUUUAUUUCUACUUUAUGCAUGUUUGUAAUGUUAACUUUAUAAAGUUUAAUGAAAAAACAAAGUAAAUUGAAAUUACCUUUACUGGUGAUUAAUGAGAUCCUUGAGGCUGAUGCUGCGAGACUACAUUUUUUUAUUUUUAUAUCCGGUUCGAUUUUCGUAACGAACAAACAAAGGUCUCCUCUUUCUGUGAUAUUCAGAUGAUUUCUCUGUUUGCUCUUAAUAUG